UGUGAGCUCGAUGAGUAGGGCGGGACACGUGGUAUCCUGUCUGAAUAUGGGGGGACCAUCCUCCAAGGCUAAAUACUCCUGACUGACCGAUAGUGAACCAGUACCGUGAGGGAAAGGCGAAAAGAACCCCGGCGAGGGGAGUGAAAAAGAACCUGAAACCGUGUACGUACAAGCAGUGGGAGCACGCUUAGGCGUGUGACUGCGUACCUUUUGUAUAAUGGGUCAGCGACUUAUAUUCUGUAGCAAGGUUAACCGAAUAGGGGAGCCGAAGGGAAACCGAGUCUUAACUGGGCGUUAAGUUGCAGGGUAUAGACCCGAAACCCGGUGAUCUAGCCAUGGGCAGGUUGAAGGUUGGGUAACACUAACUGGAGGACCGAACCGACUAAUGUUGAAAAAUUAGCGGAUGACUUGUGGCUGGGGGUGAAAGGCCAAUCAAACCGGGAGAUAGCUGGUUCUCCCCGAAAGCUAUUUAGGUAGCGCCUCGUGAAUUCAUCUCCGGGGGUAGAGCACUGUUUCGGCAAGGGGGUCAUCCCGACUUACCAACCCGAUGCAAACUGCGAAUACCGGAGAAUGUUAUCACGGGAGACACACGGCGGGUGCUAACGUCCGUCGUGAAGAGGGAAACAACCCAGACCGCCAGCUAAGGUCCCAAAGUCAUGGUUAAGUGGGAAACGAUGUGGGAAGGCCCAGACAGCCAGGAUGUUGGCUUAGAAGCAGCCAUCAUUUAAAGAAAGCGUAAUAGCUCACUGGUCGAGUCGGCCUGCGCGGAAGAUGUAACGGGGCUAAACCAUGCACCGAAGCUGCGGCAGCGACGCUUAUGCGUUGUUGGGUAGGGGAGCGUUCUGUAAGCCUGUGAAGGUGUGCUGUGAGGCAUGCUGGAGGUAUCAGAAGUGCGAAUGCUGACAUAAGUAACGAUAAAGCGGGUGAAAAGCCCGCUCGCCGGAAGACCAAGGGUUCCUGUCCAACGUUAAUCGGGGCAGGGUGAGUCGACCCCUAAGGCGAGGCCGAAAGGCGUAGUCGAUGGGAAACAGGUUAAUAUUCCUGUACUUGGUGUUACUGCGAAGGGGGGACGGAGAAGGCUAUGUUGGCCGGGCGACGGUUGUCCCGGUUUAAGCGUGUAGGCUGGUUUUCCAGGCAAAUCCGGAAAAUCAAGGCUGAGGCGUGAUGACGAGGCACUACGGUGCUGAAGCAACAAAUGCCCUGCUUCCAGGAAAAGCCUCUAAGCAUCAGGUAACAUCAAAUCGUACCCCAAACCGACACAGGUGGUCAGGUAGAGAAUACCAAGGCGCUUGAGAGAACUCGGGUGAAGGAACUAGGCAAAAUGGUGCCGUAACUUCGGGAGAAGGCACGCUGAUAUGUAGGUGAAGUCCCU
rnacentral:rRNA from 1 species